rnacentral:rRNA from 1 species
AUUGAACGCUGGCGGCAGGCCUAACACAUGCAAGUCGAGCGAGCGGCGGACGGGUGAGUAAUGUAUGGGGACUGCCCGAUAGAGGGGGAUAACUCCUGGAAACGGUGGCUAAUACCGCAUACUAUCGGAUAACCCAUAUGGGUUUAGCUGGUAGGUAAGGUAAGGGCUUACCUAGGCGACAAUCCCUAGCUGGUCUGAGAGGAUGAUCAGCCACAAUGCAACGGAGACACGGCCCAGAGUCCUACGGAGGCAUCAGUGGGGAAUAUUGCACAAUGGGCGCAAGCCUGAUGCAGCCAUGCCGCGUGUAUGAAGAAGUCCCUAGGGUGGUAAAGUACUUUCAGGCGGGAGGCGUUACCGACAGAAGAAGCACCGGCUAACUCCGUGCCAGCAGCCGCGGUAAUUC